rnacentral:lncRNA from 1 species
GUUGUUUUUUAUUUUUCUUCUGGGAUGAAUACCUAUUGCCCGGUUGUAAAAUUAUCGCAAUUUUACAUAGAAAAAUACCCUAAAGGAUUGAUUGUAAACAUCGUUUGACGUGUUUCUACAAACGGUAAUGGAACUUUUGACCAUUUCGUCUAUGGAUUUGCGUCCAUGCCACAUGGCAUUGUAAAGUGUUCUGGAUGGGUCAACAAAACGGACGUAUUUGGACAUAAAUGAUGGACUUUGCAGAACAAAUGAACAUUUCUUGUGGAAGUGGUUGCCCUUCCGAGUGCAUUCCGCCGAAGAUCAGCAAAGGAGUGUCAUCUGAUGAAGAUUGUCAUAGGGGACAGCUUCUUAGAGUAAUAUGCACACGGAUACAAGUUCUGUGAAUUACCCUGUCGUUGAGACAGAACUGCCCCCACACCCAGCUCUGAAGCGUCCACCUUCACCAAAAAUAAUAUUGUGGGAUCUGGGUGUUUGAGCAAUGGGGCGGAGGUGAAACAUCCCUUGACUAGACGGAAGGCCCCGUCGGCUGCUGGGCUCCACACCAACCUACGGGGACCACCCUUGAGGAGAGAGGUGAGAUGGUCGGCGACAGAGCUGAAGUUCCUAAUGAAACGGUGGAAGAAGUUGGCAAACCCCAAAAACUGUUGUAACCCUUUUAUGGUGGUUGGGACAGGCUAUGACCUGACCUCAUCUACCUUCUUGUCGUCCAUCCUCCCUCCCUGUGGGCUGAUUUGGUUGUCUAAGAAGGAGACAGCCUUCUGAUGAAAUUAGCACUUCUCAGCCUUGACGAACAGAUGGUUAGCCAGGAGGCGUGGGCUGCCAGCACCAACAGGAG